AGUGAACGCUGGCGGUAGGCCUAACACAUGCAAGUCGAACGGCAGCACAGUAAGAGCUUGCUCUUACGGGUGGCGAGUGGCGGACGGGUGAGGAAUACAUCGGAAUCUACUUUUUCGUGGGGGAUAACGUAGGGAAACUUACGCUAAUACCGCAUACUACCUACGGGUGAAAGCAGGGGAUCUUCGGACCUUGCGCGAUUGAAUGAGCCGAUGUCGGAUUAGCUAGUUGGCGGGGUAAAGGCCCACCAAGGCGACGAUCCGUAGCUGGUCUGAGAGGAUGAUCAGCCACACUGGAACUGAGACACGGUCCAGACCCCUACGGGAGGCAGCAGUGGGGAAUAUUGGACAAUGGGCGCAAGCCUGAUCCAGCCAUACCGCGUGGGUGAAGAAGGCCUUCGGGUUGUAAAGCCCUUUUGUUGGGAAAGAAAAGCAGCAGGUUAAUACCCCGCUGUUCUGACGGUACCCAAAGAAUAAGCACCGGCUAACUUCGUG
rnacentral:rRNA from 1 species